rnacentral:rRNA from 1 species
GACGAACGCUGGCGGCGUGCUUAACACAUGCAAGUCGAACGGAAAGGCCCCUUUUGGGGUACUCGAGUGGCGAACGGGUGAGUAACACGUGAGUAACCUGCCCUUGACUUCGGGAUAACUUCAGGAAACUGGGGCUAAUACCGGAUAGGAAUCCUUGCGGCAUGGUGGGGGUUGGAAAGCUUCGGCGGUUUUGGAUGGACUCGCGGCUUAUCAGCUUGUUGGUGGGGUAGUGGCUUACCAAGGCUUUGACCGGUAGCCGGCCUGAGAGGGCGACCGGCCACAUUGGGACUGAGAUACGGCACAGACUCCGACGGGAGGCAGCAGUGGGGAAUAUUGCACAAUGGGCGGAGGCCUGAUGCAGCAACGCCGCGUGCGGGAUGACGGCCUUCGGGUUGUAAACCGCUUUCAGCAGGGGAGAAGCUUGUGGUGACGGUACCUGCAGAAGAAGCACCGGCUAACUACGUG